CUACGGGAGACAGCAGUGAGGAAUAUUGCACAAUGGGGGGAACCCUGAUGCAGCAACGCCGCGUGGAGGAUGACGCAUUUCGGUGUGUAAACUCCUUUUAUAUGUCAAGAAAAUGACGGUAGCAUAUGAAUAAGCACCGGCUAACUCCGUGCCAGCAGCCGCGGUAAUACGGAGGGUGCAAGCGUUACUCGGAAUCACUGGGCGUAAAGGACGCGUAGGCGGGUUGGAAAGUCAGGUGUGAAAUCCUACAGCUUAACUGUAGAACUGCACUUGAAACUUCUAAUCUAGAGUAUGGGAGGGGGAGAUGGAAUUAGUGGUGUAGGGGUAAAAUCCGUAGAUAUCACCAGGAAUACCUAAAGCGAAGGCGAUCUCCUGGAACAUUACUGACGCUAAGGCGUGAAAGCGUGGGGAGCAAACAGGAUUAGAUACCCCGGUAGUC
rnacentral:rRNA from 1 species